rnacentral:misc_RNA from 1 species
CCUAUAUUCAGAAAAAUACUCGCUCAACAUUUUUCUUUAUUUUUAGAUCAGUUCCUAAUCCUAUUUAUCAAAACAAGAUGUUCAAUCCCUAUGGUUAUACACCAAAUGUUGCUUUGAAGCUUAACAGAGAUACUCUGCACAUCAAGAAUCCUGUUAAGCAUAAAGCCUAAACUUUAAAUGAAAAUCUGAUUCACUCCUCCCCUGAGGUAUGGGCUGGGCGGGUAAAUGGAAUCUAUGUACACAAUUUCUCAGUGAACUUUUGGAAUUUACAAUUUCAACACUUUUUAUAUUCUGAUGAUUUCUAGCACCUCUCUGCAAGCAUGCAGCAAAAUAAGGGAAACCCAAAAGGGGGAAAAAAUCAGAUAGUUAAAUGGGCCAUGCAUCAACGACAAUAAAGGUGAUCUUCAUCUUCAAACUCUGAAACUCCUAGCAUUGCCAAAGCUAUGUGAUUGCUUAUCUCACUUUUUGUUUGUUGUAGCUGAGGGUAGCAAUCUAUAAUCCCAGAAAAAUUGGACUUCUUCUUAUUGUAGUAGACUGGUUCUUCUUCACCUCUCAAUAUAGCAAUAAUUUCUGCAAUGCCUGGCCGUCGAGCUUCCUCAUUACUUGUACAGGCAGCAGCAGCUUGAAUCAUCUGGGUUAUUUGACUUGUAUUUCUCAAAGUGCAUUUAAGAUGCGGAUCAAGCAACUCUUCAAUGGCUCCUUUUCCCUUUUGCAAUAGAGGUUUAGCCUGCAAAAGAUUGAAUGGUUAAUCAUGUCUUCAUCACAACCAUGUCAUGCAGAGUCUAGUCAUAUUACAAAUAACAGUACAAAUGCUAUCAGGUUGUGAAGGAACAGCUUACUAAAAAGUGGCAGGCUCUAAUUAUAAGAGAAGAAGUUAUUCAAGAGGUAUUUAUGUUAUGACAAUUCUAGCAGACAAUUUCUUAAAGCUUUACAAAAACUCCGGUUCACACUCCAUAGAAACCAGAGACUGUUCUUGAGGGAAUCUUGGCUAGCCAAGUCCAAAAUUAUUCCUGCCAAAACAUGAUUCUUCAGUUAUUGAAUCAAUUCACAGUACCCACAUUAAAAAACCCCUAGCGCAGGCAUCUAUUCUAAUCUCUCAUCGCACUGAGAUUAUUGGAUAGUCAAUGGUAGGCAUACAUGUCAUGAUCCUUGACUUCUGAGAAAUAAGAAAUUUUUGCAGUAAUGAAAGUUUUCUUGUAAAAUUUCCCCCUUUGCUACUUCUUCACAUAGUAUAUCAACAAAUUUGAUAAAUUUCAGCAUUCUGUUGGUGUGAACAAUAUUACUUCAGCUUUAGAGAAAGACAUCACAAAUUGAAUGCUCAAAAAAAAAAAGUGGAAAAGUUAAGUAAAAACAAAGAACUCUGGCAUUAACAUGAUUGGUCCAUUUCAAAAUACAAUGCAAGAAGUUCUAUCUAUUUCCAAGAGGCACCAAAAAGUACCACAACCAUACCAUCAUGUACUACAAGGCUCCGUUUGGGAAAAUGGUUAGGAGGCCAAGAGACUGUUUUUGGAAAAAGCAACAUUUUAGAUUCUAUUCAAAAAAGUUGUUUAGUUGUUUUGGAUUUCUUAUGACUAAAACAUCUCAAAUUCAACUUUAAAUCAAUUUUUAAUACCCCCCUAACCAACAUAUUUAAGGAGGGUUUUUUCUCAACAGCCUCAACAGCAACUCCAAAAGCAAUGCCAAACAGAUUCUAAGAUGCAACAAUUUAGAAACACUUUGUCAUGUUUGUACUUUUCCAGUUUAAUGAGUUCACAGAAUCCAGCAAUCACCAUCAAAAUGUAAUUAGCUCUUAGGCAUCAACAAUGUAAAUUUGUGGUUGCAGAUUUAGGCAUUGUCAAUUUUAAGGUAACAGGAUUACCCCUACUUCUUAAUGGCAACUUCUAUGGGGACCAUUCAUUCAAGCGUUACAAAGUCAAAGCAGCUGCUGAAAAGUGUAAAAGAAUUAGUUCAUCAACCUACCCAGAGUACCAAAUUCUCUUCCCCCGGAGACCUUCUUGCUUCAAUUGGUUUCCUUCCAGUUAUUAGUUCUAAGAGGACCACUCCAAAAGCAUAAACAUCGGUCUUAUCAGAUACCUUCCCAUGCUGGAAGUACUCAGGAGCCAGGUAACCAAAUGUUCCCUUCACAGUUUUGCAAAGGAAAGGUACUGAGGGUGCAGAGGUCCAAGUAGCCAAUCCAAAAUCACACAACUUGGGUAUUUUCUUGGAAGAAAGGAGUAUAUUUGAGGGUUUAAUAUCCCUGUGAACAACACAUCUCUCAGUUCCAUUAUGCAAAUAAGCAAUUGCCUGUGCAAUUCCCAGUGCCACCUUAUACCUCACCGACCAAGGAAGUGCUGAACCACUUUUUACACAUCUCUUCUUCUCAUGCAAAUGGCGCUCUAAGCUCCCACCAGAGACAUACUUGUACACCAAGAACAAACCCUCCUCUGGAUCAAUACAAAAACCAACAAGGGGCACAAUAUUUGGAUUAUGAAGAGAGCUAGCAAUCAUCAGUUCUCUACAAAACGCCUUUGGAGAUUCCUUGUCCUCCUUGUCUAAUCUCUUAAUAGCCACAGCUGCCCUCAAGAUUCCAACUCUACCGCUAAAAACGAAGCUCAAAGCUCCUCUUCCCAAAAUUCUACCUUUUGAGAAAUUAGAGGUAGCAGCAAGAAUUUCACUGUAACUAAAUCUGACCAAAGAAUUUGCCACUGGGGAGAUGCUCCGCUCCAGAGACUGAAUUCUCCUCCAUUUGAGUUCUUUAGCUCUAGUCUCGUUCAACCCAUUGUCCAAAUUCACCAUCAAAACAGUUGCAGAAGCUGAAGAAUUCAUGUUCAUUGACUCAAGCUCGACCUGAGAGCAGAAACUGAACCUGAAAGAUGAGUGAACUGAUUGUGGAUCAGCAUUUGUUAACUCUGCACCACCACAUCCACCAGACUCUGCCAGUAACCAUGCCUUAUUGUGCUCUAAAUUUGCAUUCUUGAUUUUACUGCUCUUAUUGCUCUCAUUUGGGAGAAAACAGGAGAAACCAAGUUGCCAAACCAUCUUUCUUAAAAUGGUUUUCAUCUUGAGCUCAUUAUGGUCACAGUAGUGGUCUGUAUCUGUGGAGGAACAAGUGUAGAGAGCUCCUAAGCUAUUUGGAGGCUCCCUUGUGCCCGCACAGCUGCCUUGAAAGAAACCCAUUCUUGAAAGCAGAUCUCAAUGAGAGCACAGAAACCCAGAAACCAGAAAAAGAGAGAGAAUAUAAAAAAGUGAAAGCCGCUUUGCUUCAAGGGUGGGAGAGAAUUUCUCAACAGAGAGACAAAGACAGAAAGAAAUGAGAAAUUGACCAAAGGGUGUGGGUUAUGCGUAUAUAAAAACCAUGUAUGAGUAGGUAAAUGCUUGUUAGUUUAACGUACCAGAUUUUUU